GUGAGGUUUCCGAGUUAAAAGAAACAAUCAAAAAUCAAGCAAGCACAAUUGCACACCUUCAGGAAAAUCUCACCAGACGAACUUCAUUGCAAGAAGCAGAGGCACGAUACCAAGAAGCUAUAAAAAGUGCUGAAAAGUCCAAAGAACACCUGGAAACGCAUGAGUGUGAGAUUUCUGAGUUAAAAGAAACAAUCAGCAAACUAACAGGCACAGUUGCACACCUUAAGGAAAAUCUCAUGGGAC